CAUUGACAUCCAUGUGCCAAACAGGGAGUCCUUGUUGAUUCCGAACCAAAGCCGACAUUUGCUGCAUCAUCAGAGACUCUGUCAGAAUCCUUCCCAGAGGUUAGGGAGGAGUUUCCUGGAAAACACUCAGCCCACCCCCUGUUGCCAGAGGAAGAGUAUUUAUAUACGGGUGUUAGUUUUGGGAGAAUUGCUGAACUGGACCAGCUCGUACAGAGAUGGAAGCAGCUUGUCACCAUCAACAUUGUCACCGUCCCCCAGUAGGUUCAGCCUCCCCCGAAUGCGCCCUGAGUCCUGACCACUCUCUCAGCCCCCAGCGCCUCCUCCAGCAGGGCUGGGGCCCGCAGGAGCCAGACGGACUGACCACUCAUCCCCUCCUCCCCCUACUCAUAGGCCUGCAUGAGCCAGCUUCCUGCUCUGGCUGAAGGAGGAAGAAGACCCAGCAGCAGCCCCAGAAGAAGCGCAGAGGCAGAUUCUUUACCACUGAGUCAGCAGGGAUGCCUGAGAUAACACAUUUCUGACUUCUGCCAAUUUUGCUGAGGCCCAAGGACUGUUGAAGAAUCAAGAAACACCCAAGAGCAGCCAGGCCGCUCGUCUUACACACGUGGAAGCCGACACCAGCGGAGCGCGUAGAUGGUGUCCCUCGGCGCGUGGCGCAGCUCGGGCCGGGGUCCUCACUCCACGCCCAGGGUCUCUCCUGAGCCCAACGCUUCCUCCCCCAGGUCUUUGCUGGUGGGCCCCAUUUGUCUGAGGAGAUCGGUAUAUGAACAUGAAACAGCAUCAUUUCCAGUCUGAUGAAAGUUGCCAUUUUCCUCUUCUCUGCAAGGGAAACACCACCUCGGCUCACCCCGCAGCUAUUUCACACUGUCAGGAAUGGAGGCCAAAAAAGCCCCUGUGCUGUACUCAUAAGUGUAACUGGAUCCCUGAGAAACCAGCCCAGCUAAUCUCCACCCUCAGGAGCUUUAACACCUUGCUACUCAACGUGCAGCCAGGGAUCUGCAGGAAUUGGCAUUUCCUGGGAGCUUGUGAGAAAUGCAGAGCCCCAGGCCUAUCCCAUCACUCUGUCCAAGGCCGUAAGUAUCCUUUACAUCACUGAGAGGAAGGGAAGACUGCAGAUCCUGAGGCAAAGCUCAGUGCUUCAUCUUUCUCAGCAACUGUGAGAGCGCGUAUCGUCCUUCCACCAUUUUCUUUUUUUUAACUGAUGCAUAGUUGACAUAUCCCAAAUUCAUUUUGGAUGUGCAACAUAAUGAUUCAAUAUUUGUAUGUACUGUGAAAUUAUCAUCAUGAUAAGUCCAUCUCAUGCCCAUCAUCUCACAUUGUUACAUCUUGUGUGUGUGUGUGGUGAGGACUUUUUAGAUCCACUCUUUUAGCAACUUUCAAAUAUACAAAAUAAUUUUUUAAAAUAGUAUUAUUAGCUAUAGUUGCCAUGCUACACAUGAUGAUCCCAUGAGUUACUUUUCUGUAAUUGGAAGUUCGUACCUUUUGACCACCUUCACCUACUUCACAAACCCCUACAGCCCACCUUCUGCAAACACCAAGGUGUGCCCUGGAUUGAGGACCUUGGUGCUUUGCUUCUUAUUUUAUUUAUUUAUUUUUUAAGAUGCCACAUGUAAGUGAGCUCACCCUUUUUCUGUGCACCUGUAGGACUAGUGCAGGUCUUAGUAGGUCCUGGAUCUGCUACCCUCUCAACAUUCCAUGUGGAGUCUUGGGCUGCUGUGUGAGAAUGAUCAUUCAGUGGAUGGUAAACUCGGUAAGAUGGGAAUGUGAUCUCCUCCCACCACCUGUCAUGGGGCAGAUUCUCCCAGCCCUGCUGUGUGGCUCUGGGGCACUUCCACUCCACAUCAGUAAAGUGUGUGGUCAUUCAGUAAUCACUCUGUUUCCAACAAUCGUGAUAAUGGACAUCACCUUUGAUAAACGCUUCAUUAAUUAGAGCAACUGCUGUUUGGAAACACAACUUGAAUCCAAAUCCAGACUUGAAUCUCUCCCUUUGAAAUAGCAAACUUCUGGCAGGAAAACUCUAAGGGGUGACUUGCUACAAGAGGGUGCAGGGAGAGCAAAAAUGUGGUACAGGAUGAAAAUUACGUAGAAUUACGGGACUUCUGGUUACACACACUACAGGUUAGUAACACUUCAAGUAAAACUAGGAGCGAAUAACUCUGACGACCGGUCAUGUUUCUUCUCUAGUCUUCGCUGUUUACUGUCCUUGUUCUCAGGAGAGGAAACACUUCAUUUCUAUUUUUGCUGCAACAACCUCAUCUGUGCGUCCCCAGCCUCCAGCAGGGAGUGAAGCUGUCCUGUCCGGUACGCCCUUUCCUGCUGCGCGCUGGCGCCCAUCGAGUUUUGAGCAGCAGUUACUUGCUGGGCACAGUUCCUCACCCAUCAAGUCGUCAGUACCUGCUGAGGCUCCCAGAGGGACAGAAGCCGCCUUUCCAGCCCCAGCCCUGGAGCUGGAGUCCAGCCCUGAGAGUCUGACUCUCUGACGGCUGAUGACCAGCCGAGGCUGGCCGUGUUCUGUGCUCCGCGCACCCACAGAGGGUCGGGCUCAGACCUGCCCUUCAGUCUCACCGCCAACAGUGCGGGUGAUGGUGGCGUUUCAAAUCACCAACAGGCUUAUUUUGGCCGGGGAAAGAACGCCUUCUACAAAACAUUUAUAAAGAACCUUUCUUCCGCCCAGGGUGGGAAAUCUGGGUUCUUUCACACCAGAGA